CAAGAUAGAGAUAGAAUGAGAGAUUAUGGAAGAAAUGACAUUUAUGGACAAGCAGUAGCUGCUAGUGAUGAGGAUGAGUGGUCCAUCCUACAACAGAUACUCAGGAGAAAGUGCUGCUAGUGACGGAGCUCUGUUAUGCUUUUAUGGAAUUCCAUUUGUGAUUAGAUAUUCAUUCACCAAAGACAAAUUUGGUAAAAGGUUUUAUGGUUGCGCAAAUUAUAAGCAUGGUCGGGCUUGUAAAUAUUUUGAUUGGGUUGAUGAUCCUCCGAUAUGCGAGCAUGGCGAAAGAGUAUUGAAGCGGUUGAAAGAGAAAUACAUGUGCCUAAAAGAUGAAAAAUAAAGGCUACAUGCUGUAGUUAUGAAGAGCGACACAAUGGAAAUAGAGAAUAGCAAGUGCAAGAAAAAAAUGGGAAUGAAACCAUCCCCAUUACUCAUUUACUUGUUGUCAUAAGUUUCCUGUACUUGUUUUUGUCAAUUUCUUUGUGAGAAAUUUGUUGACAGAAACUAGUUUUAACCUUGAUAUAUAUAAAUGUAAAUAUGUGUAUGUGCACAGGUUCGUGCGAACCAUUAGAGAAUUUGGAAGGAAUCAUAAGUCUAGCAUUUGUUAGUGUCUGAAGUAAACAUGGCUUUGUGGUUGUAGUGGGUCCAAAAU